rnacentral:lncRNA from 1 species
CUCCACUCCUGAUCCACAAUGUGAUCCACCGGCAAGGAGGGAUGCCAAUAAGGCGUCUGAUAAGAUAAGUCUUAUAAAAUAUAUAGGUUUAUGAUAAUUAAAACUGAGCUAACAGAUGAGAAUCCUAGUCAUUGGCCAAGCUGCAUUGAACCUAAUACAAGUUUCUGUGUAUUCAUUUGGGCCAAACUCAGGCAGGUGGCUGGCAUAAAACGCACAUGUGACAGUGGGACUCCGGUGGCUUUUGGUGGAAAGAUUUAUCUUAACAAUGCUUUAUGGGCAUGAUGCAAGAUGCUCCCCUCCAGUCCGGGCUCCAAAGGAGCACCAACCAGAAUGACUUACUUUCUCAUUCUUAAACUCUUCAUUUGGAAUAAAUAACAGUGUUAACCAUGUGGAUGCUUGACUGUGGUUUAAGACCAUGAGUAAUUUUCUAAGAACAAAAUCUCAGUGAGCUCACCAACAGUAAACCCGCCAGCUUCCAUACAGCAGCUUCCUUGGCUCAGGCUCUGAAAUAACUGUAGUAUUUUAGAGUUCCAGCCUUUGUCAGAACGCAAGGACAAGACUUGAAUAAAAUCAUGUUUUCUGUGGAUCUAAACUGAAAUCACAGCUUAUUGAACAGAACAUUUCGAUUUUCAGAGUUGGGAAACUGACACUCAGAGAGAAUGCUGUGCUCAAGAGAGACAUGCUCCCUCUGUGGCUAUUGCCAGGUUCUCCUGGCAAUUAUUAUUCAGGCUUCUCCCAGCCUGAGAUUCCUGGAAGACACUCCAAUUCCAUGAGGUGCCUUGUUUCAACAGUCUGACAGUGAAAGGUAGGGGCACAACCUUGUCUAUAGACGAUCAUUGCCA